CACCCUUCAUUCAUGAAACUUUUUGGGUUAGAAGGGGGGGAAACCUAGAUCUACGAAAGAGGAUAGAGGAGCUCCUCCCUUUUUCUAGCCUUUUUUUUUUCUAAAAAGGAACCGGAAGUGGCGAGAGGGCGCGUCCGGUCUCUUCCCGACUCUGUGGUCUCCGGGGAAGGCGCUUGCAAGGGGGUCUCCUCGGGAGUUUCCGGCAUCAGGACCUGCAAGGAGAAGUGCUCUCUGAGAUUGCCAGUUCCCCUUUCUGAAUUGGGAGUGUGUCUCUUCAUCUGCUGGUGUUCUUUCAGGAGUUGACUUCGUAUUUCCUCAGUGGAAAAUGGGAUCUUCUGCAUCCAGG
rnacentral:lncRNA from 1 species